GUGAGGGGGUGACUAGUGACAGAGUGAGGGAAAGGAAGGGGUGACUAGUGACAGAGUGAGGAAGGGGGUGACACAGUGACAGAGUGAGGGAGGGGGUGACACAGUGACAGAGUGAAGGAGGUGGUGACUGUCACUAGUCACCCCAUCCCUCCCUCUGUCACUAAUCACCACCUCCCUCACUCUGUCACUAGUCAUCCCUUCCCUCUCUCACUCUGUCACUAGUCACCCCCUCCCUCUCUCUGUCACUAGUCACACCCUCCCUCAC